rnacentral:rRNA from 1 species
GCGAAUGGCUCAUUACAACAGCUAUAAUUUACUUGAUCUUGACACUAUCCUACUUGGAUAACUGUGGUAAUUCUAGAGCUAAUACAUGCAUUAAAGCUCUGACCUCGCGGAGAGGAGCGCAUUUGUUCGCCACAAAACCAAGCGCCUUCACAGGCGUUCAGUGUUGACUCAGAACAACUCAGCUGAUCGCACGGUCUUGCACCGGCGACGUGUCUUUCAAGUGUCUGCCUUAUCAACUUUCGAUGGUAGUGUACCUGACUACCAUGGUGAUGACGGGUAACGGAGGAUAAGGGUUCGACUCCGGAGAAGGGGCCUGAGAAAUGGCCACUACGUCUAAGGAUGGCAGCAGGCGCGCAAAUUACCCACUCUCAGAAUGAGGAGGUAGUGACGAGAAAUAACGAGACCGUUCUCUACGAGGCCGGUCAUCGGAAUGGGUACAAUUUAAACCCUUUAACGAGUAUCUAUGAGAGGGCAAGUCUGGUGCCAGCAGCCGCGGUAAUUCCAGCU